GAUGAACGCUGGCGGCGUGCCUAAUACAUGCAAGUCGAGCGAACGGACGAGAAGCUUGCUUCUCUGAUGUUAGCGGCGGACGGGUGAGUAACACGUGGAUAACCUACCUAUAAGACUGGGAUAACUUCGGGAAACCGGAGCUAAUACCGGAUAAUAUUUUGAACCGCAUGGAUCAAAAGUGAAAGACGGUCUUGCUGUUACUUAUAGAUGGAUCCGCGCUGCAUUAGCUAGUUGGUAAGGUAACGGCUUACCAAGGCAACGAUGCAUAGCCGACCUGAGAGGGUGAUCGGCCACACUGGAACUGAGACACGGUCCAGACUCCUACGGGAGGCAGCAGUAGGGAAUAUUCCGCAAUGGGCGAAAGCCUGACGGAGCAACGCCGCGUGAGUGAUGAAGGUCUUCGGAUCGUAAAGCUCUGUUAUUAGGGAAGAACAUAUGCGUAAGUAACUGUGCACAUCUUGACGGUACCUAAUCAGAAAGCCACGGCUAACUACGUG
rnacentral:rRNA from 1 species